rnacentral:SRP_RNA from 1 species
ACCAGGCAUGGUGGUGUGUGUCUGUAGUCCCAGCUACUCGGGAGGCUGAGGUGGGAGGAUCGCUUGAGCCCAGGAGUUCUGGGCUGUAGUGCGCUAUGCCGAUUGGGUGUCUGCACUAAAUUUGGCAUCAAUAUGGUGACCUCCCGGGAGCGGGGGACCACAAGAUUGCCUAAGGAGGGGUGAACUGGUCCAGGUUGGAAAUAGAGCAGGUCAAAAUUCCUGUGCUGAUCAGUAGUGGGAUCAUGCCUGUGAAUAGCCACUGUACUCCAGUCUGGGCAACAAAGCGGAGGAAAAGUUUA